rnacentral:rRNA from 1 species
UUAACCGGAUUAGAUACCCUGGUAGUCCACGCCGUAAACGAUGUCGACUUGGAGGUUGUGCCCUUGAGGCGUGGCUUCCGGAGCUAACGCGUUAAGUCGACCGCCUGGGGAGUACGGCCGCAAGGUUAAAACUCAAAUGAAUUGACGGGGCCCGCACAAGCGGUGGAGCAUGUGGUUUAAUUCGAUGCAACGCGAAGAACCUUACCUGGUCUUGACAUCCACAGAACUUUCCAGAGAUGGAUUGGUGCCUUCGGGAACUGUGAGACAGGUGCUGCAUGGCUGUCGUCAGCUCGUGUUGUGAAAUGUUGGGUUAAGUCCCGCAACGAGCGCAACCCUUAUCCUUUGUUGCCAGCGGUCCGGCCGGGAACUCAAAGGAGACUGCCAGUGAUAAACUGGAGGAAGGUGGGGAUGACGUA